UUUAUAGCUUUGGGGUUGUUCUUCUAGAGCUUCUAACUGGGAGGAAACCGGUUGACCACACAAUGCCUCGCGGACAGCAGAGUCUUGUUACCUGGGUGAGGUUAUUGUUCUGUUUUCAGUUGAGUAGGACAAAGUCUUAAAUAUUUAGUUUUGUGGAUAUAGGCUACUCCAAGACUGAGUGAAGAUAAAGUUAAAGAAUGUGUGGAUCCAAACCUGAAGGGAGAGUAUCCUCCUAAAGGAGUUGCCAAGGUAUUUGCCGAGUCUGCAUAACUUUAUACAAGUUAAAUCUCGAUUGGAUUGGGUUCUUACUAUAUGUGUAUAUAUAUUGUGGAUGUAGUUGGCGGCUGUAGCUGCAUUGUGUGUGCAGUACGAAGCUGAGUUCCGUCCCAACAUGGGCAUCGUUGUUAAGGCUCUCCAACCAUUAUUGAAGGCUCAAACACCAGCAGCAUCCCCAACAUCAGAGACUUGAAAAUCAAAAAGCAGAUAGACAUAAUUCCAUUUUCUUCACUUUUUAUCAGAAAAUUUCUGAAAUCUAUGCACAGUUUGGUUUCAUUUCAUUUUCAUUGCACAUUUCAUUAUAUCACAGAAUAUAUAAUUGGGUUAUUUUAUUUAUUUAUUUGAUUGUUAAAAAUGUUUCUUUGAGUUGUUAUAAAUUAAAAGGGAUUGUGGGUUGUUUUAUUUUCUCUGCUCUUUGGGUCAAAUUUGAACUUAGUCCCUGUACUAUAAUCAAAAUUGGGAUUUAAUCCUUGGAUUUUUUCGGGAUUCAUCUUGAAGUAAGAGGCCAGGUACAAUUACAACCGACAAUAAUAAAGAUAUUACAUAACCUACUUAUAUUAAAACAUUUUUAGAUAGGAUUCACAAAUAAUAGGAUUUUUAAAUCAAAAUAAAUUUAAAUAACGAUUACACAUAAUUUACCUUGGACACUGAACUCCGAGAUUAAUUAGUGGAAUUAUUUAAUUUAAAUUGUUAAUGGUAUUAAAAUUUCUAAUAACUAUGAGGCUAACUUUAAUUUAAAUUAUGAACUUGAUGCAUGUAUUAUCUUUAAAUUUGGGACUUCAUUUUUUCUGUUAAUAAAGCUUCAACCUUAAUCUCGGUGCCCUUAUGAAAAUUUUUGAUUUAGGGUUAAAAAAAUCUUUAAAAUUGUGAUUGCUUUCUAAAGUCGAAUUCCAACUCAAAAUCUCUAAAUUAUUGAAGCCAUAAAUCAUUCAGACUCUUGACAGUAAUGCUUAAGAAUCUGCUAGGAAUCAAUUAAAGAUACGUAGUCGCAGCAAGAUUUCUUUUUAAAAUUAAAUUUGAUUUUCUGUUUUUUUUAAUUUGUUGCUAUCUUUCUGUUACAAUUUGUUGUAUAAAUUCAGCUUUUUUUCAUUAGAGCUUUUUGUUAUCUUGAGGGACCUGUGAAAAUGGAAGAGAAAAGUUUUACAAUGGCGUCGCCAGUAUAAAACUUGGGUUGCUAGGAUGGUUAUUCAUUGCAGGCUCUUGACAUUUGGGAAGCAGUGGAGGAUGAUUAUGUAAUACCUCUACUUCCACCAAAUCCAAUAGUGGCAUAAAUGAAGAAUCAUAAGUAGAAGAAGAUAAGGAAGACUAAGUCGAAGGCGUGCUUAUUUUUGUUGUUUCACAAUCAAUUCGGAACUACUACAAAAAUCUAAAAUUACCUUAAAGAAAAAUAUGAAGGGAAUCAAAGGAUUAAGAACAUCCAAGUGAUGAACUUGACUCAAGAAUUUAAAAUGAAGAGAAUGAAAGAGUCUGAAGCAGUUAAAGACUAUGUUGAUCAAUUGUAGACAAGGCGAGACUUCUAGGUAAAGAAUUCUCUGAUAAAACUAUUGCUGAAAAGAUAUUGGUUACACUUCCUAAAAGAUAUGCCUUGGAGAAUUCUAAAGAUUUUUCAAGUAUUACCUUAUCAAAGCUACUGGCCGCUUUACAAGCUUCAGAACAAAGUAGACUCAUGAGACAAUAAAACUCUAUAGGAGCUUUUCAAGCUAGCAUACAAACAAAUGGAAACAGAAAUAACAAAAAGAACAUUAAAAACCCUAGCAAUAAUAAUAACCAAAGAAAUGGAUCUUAUCUACCUUGUCCUCGUUGCAAAAAAACAAAUCAUCCUUUGCAAAAAUGUUGGUGGAGAUCAUAUGUGAAAUACAACAAAUUUGACAGGCAAGGACAUGUGGAAAUGAUUUGUAGAACUCAACAGCAACAAGAGGAAACUAGCACAGUGGCUGAGAAAUACCAAGAGGAGCAACUGUUUGUUGCAACACGUUUUGCAAGUAGAAGAACUUCUGAGAUUUGGUUGGUGGAUAGUGGUUGUACAAACAAUUAUC
rnacentral:lncRNA from 1 species